rnacentral:rRNA from 1 species
GACGAACGCUGGCGGCGUGCUUAACACAUGCAAGUCGAACGGUGAAGCUCCAGCUUGCUGGAGUGGAUCAGUGGCGAACGGGUGAGUAACACGUGAGCAACCUGCCCCUGACUCUGGAAUAAGCGCUGGAAACGGCGUCUAAUACUGGAUACGAGAAGGGUCCGCAUGGGCACUUUCUGGAAAGUUUUUCGGUUGGGGAUGGGCUCGCGGCCUAUCAGCUUGUUGGUGAGGUAAUGGCUCACCAAGGCGACGACGGGUAGCCGGCCUGAGAGGGCGACCGGCCACACUGGGAAUGAGACACGGCCCAGACUCCUACGGGAGGGAGGAGGGGGGAAUUUUGCAAAAGGGGCGAAAGCCUGAUGCAGCGACGCCGGGUGGGGGAUGACGGCCUUCGGGUUGUAAACCUCUUUCAGGAGGGAAGUAGCGAAAGGGGCGGGACCUGCAGAAGAAGCCCCGGCUAACUACGG